rnacentral:lncRNA from 1 species
AGCUGUCAUAUAUGCAAUUGAAACUUUAUUAGUAUUGAAACAAUUUUGCUAGAAUCGGAUCCUUUCUUAAUUCUUACUAGGAAAUAUUAUCAUGAUGAUCGAGUAGCUCAGUAUUAUUGGUGGAGCAUUCCAAGCCAUUGUGAAAGAAAAGCGGGAGUGACGAACAACUUUCCUUCGAAUGCUACAGUAGGAUGAUUGUGGAGAUCUUUAUGGUCUUUUUUGCUGACACUAUUGUUUCCCUCAACAGGUUCACAAGUCUGCAACCCUUUUGCAGCAAUUGGCUGCUAUGUGCAGUUUAAGUGAAAGAACCACCUGGAAGGCUCAUCUUUGCUGGGAUUCCUUACAUGGAUGGCUCCAUUCUGCAGUCAGUCCCCUCUCUCUCUCCCCCACCCCCCCGAAGUGCCUUCUCAUUUAUUUUGAGAAAACUUAAGUGAAAGAACCACCUGGAAGGCUCAUCUUUGCUGGGAUUCCUUACAUGGAUGGCUCCAUUCUGCAGUCAGUCCCCUCUCUCUCUCCCUCUCCCCCCCGAAGUGCCUUCUCAUUUAUUUUGUGAAAACUGAUCCUGCUGUUAAUCACUCAAUAAAUUGUUUCUUCUACAAUAAUUGAGACAUUGAUCUUCUGCACACUUCCUUGAAGGAAGGAAGCUUGUUAUUCUGGCAGCACUUAUAUGAGCUAAUGAAAUGGUCCACUUUUGUUACUUUUAUAAUUUAUGCAUAUUUUACAUGUUAGCUUUAAUCUGUG